rnacentral:ncRNA from 1 species
AUGCCGCGAAUCCUCUUGAAAGAGAGGGGUGCCUUCGGGAACGCGGACACAGGUGGUGCAUGGCUGUCGUCAGCUCAUGCCGUAAGGUGUUGGGUUAAGUCCCGCAACGAGCGCAACCCUCGUGUUUAGUUGCCACGUUGAGUUUGGAACCCUGGUCCCUGCGGGAUCUAUCUCUUUAGUGUAUAGGCAGGCAUCUGACCGGUUAGUAGAAUAACCC